rnacentral:lncRNA from 1 species
UUCAAGAUAUCUAAAACAAUAUUUUGUUUUUGUAGUCGAACGAUCUGGAGGCAUACCGCUUUAAGAGAAGAUCGUUUAUAAGUACAGAACGUUGUACUGCAUCUUUAGAAUCAUAGAGUUCAUUUAGAUCAAUUUGUUUAUAAGGUUAAGAAAUAUGUAAAAUAAAAUCGUGGAAUAACACAGACAUAAACUAAAAUGUUGCAGGCUCGGUAACACGAAUGUAAAUUUUAUGUAUGUGAUGGAUUAACCUGUAUGGUAUAACACACCGGCCUGUAAAUGUUUUUUAUGCAUUAAUAGUAAUUUAAAGACGUUUCUGAGAGAGGAUAUCUAAUCACGAUUGUAUGGGGAUGUGGUUUAAAAACUUUGUAUAAUUUUGGGGCAUAGCAGUUUUCCCAUUGUUUGUGGUAAAUUUGUGAAAAGAGGAUAGGACCCAACUGUUUGGGGUUUAGCCAUAUUUGCAGUUGAGCUCUACGCUUUCUUCUUCGAUUGUGUCUGACCGAACAGGCGGGAGAUUCUAAUGUAGACAGUUCUUAAAUCCAUCCAGGGCAUUGUUUAGAUAUCUAUCAUCUGGUCUGUUUUGUGGGUGCUUUGCUGGUUGGUCUGUCUUCUGCAAAGGCAUCGAGUACAUGCGUGUUGCAUUUUAUAUAAAUUUACAAGAACAUUUAACUCGCCUUAUGUUGCCAUUUCAUGUGUUAGGAAUUCACCUGGCAGUGAUAUGUUUUAUUUAUAUUGUCCUAUGACUUUGGUGCAUUGUGGGGGUAAGGGUAAGAUUUUGUGCACUAUAAAAAGGCUGUAGCUCCCGAAUGGUGUGUUUGCCUAGACCGUUCCAAGGCGGUGCUCAACUGUGUUCCUUUAUCUGUUCGUUUGUCUAUGUGUGUUUGUUUUGUGUGCGAGUGUGUUUUGUCUGUCAAGUUCACGUCCUUGUGCAGUGUGUUGUGGUUCAAAGCGGCUGCAUUUUUAGCGUGUGCUUUCCCUGUUUUUCAUCAACCGCUUUGAACUAAAGUGGUGAUUUUGCUACUGACCUUUGAAAAAUGAUGCCUAUCUAUGCACGUUUUUGUAUUGUUUUUGUAACCAGGGUGUCACAAAAACAUGUCAUAACUCUAACACAAAUUUUGAUAUCUGUUUUAUUACUAAAUGAAAACAAACACUCUCGAAUUCAAACAAUAGUUAUAAAUCAAUUUAUGGCGUCAUCAAUGACAUCGUCUUUUUUCCGGACUUGUAGUUCAGAAUGAUAUGAAGUUUUACAAUCAAUCAGGAAGCUUUCCAGUCGGUGUAAAUACAGUGCUAAGAUAAAAAUUUUGGUUGUAUUUAUAUAUAUCUGGCAAGGUGUUGUCCUGAUCGGUGGAGAACAAGAAUAGUAUUGACACAACAAAAGUUGUAAAGGAGGUUACUAAUAAACGAAGAAAACUACUGUCCUAAAAACUGAAACUAUGCCAGUUACAAGUCAUGAAACAUUUGAAACAGUAUUAGAUAAAAAUAUAACCUGAUAUCGAAUAUACUAAACUUAGAGACUUGAUUUGGCUCUUAGAUUGAACCCAUUUUACUCUUGAGAUUCAUCGAAUAAAUUAUAUUCGAAAUAUUAAUCUAUCGACCGUCCAUGUAAUAUUUUAAAAGAAAACGUAUAGAAGGAAUGGAAGGUAAUGUGUGAAAUAUGUAAGAAAUUAUCAUAAAUUUAGAUUAACUAAAACGUUACAGUGUUUGGGUUCUGGUGUUAUGGGUAUAAAAACAGAAAAAAAGUGGAAAACUACAAAUCGCCAAACACGCUCGUAUUUAUUGAAUCUGUUCAUGGACGGUAGUGGUAAUGCAAACUACCGUCCAUACCCUCUAGCCCCGGCUUUGGCAGAACUCAAAAUUUACGUAACAUAAAAAGUGCCAUAUGUAAUUAAGAGACGCCCGCAAAUGUAUUUAUACGCCUGUGCACAUGGAAAUAUUUAGAGUACAAUUCAAUGAGAAGUUUCUUAUGAUUCCCAGUUAAAAUAUUUGUUUGCUUUAUUAUAAACGUAAUAUAAUGGGCAGAACUAAAACUGAAAUUAAGAGAGAGGAUCUGAGGUUAUAGGGCCUGCACAUCACAGAAACUGUCAAACGACAAAAUUAAAAAGUAGGCACCAUAUACAAGGGGUGAAUAAACAAUACCUGAAAGCUAUUAAAGCCUGAGUAUUGGAACCACCCUAGUAGAAAUGUUGAAGCUGAAAAAAAUGAACAGUACACCAACACAACAUCAAUAUCAUGCUUAACGAUCCGAAGAAAUCGAAAUAUAACAGCAAUGACUGAAUUUACGGUGAGACUGUUUACGACCAACACACGGCACAAACAACGCUGCUGUGAUACUAAAAUAGAAGAAGUGUAAAAUCACAGAUCGCCCUACACGAAUUAAACGAAAAUGAUGCAGGAUCAGUUUCAUUGAGCCUGUUCAUGGAAGGUAGUGGAAUGCAUGCUACCGUUCAUGCCUUCUAGCCCCGGGUUGAGCAGAACUCAACAUUUACCAGAAUAUACUGAAGUGAUAGUCGAACCCACUUAAAACAGACAUGAAUGGAUGAGAAGAUAACGAAAACACUUUAUACAAAACGUAUCUUUCUUAAGAAACGGAUAUGUAUCGGUCAAAUAUAUUCGUGCGUAUUAGCCAAAAUACGUUUUUCGUGCUGUUUAGUGUUAACAAAAAUAAACAUCAUCUUGAGAAUGUCAUCAACAACAUGCGAAUUUACGUUGUUCGUGAAAACUAUUUCCGAAACCACUCCGGACAAAGAGGUAUAAAAUAUUUGCUUAUAUACCGAGCUUGAAUACUCUUGCAUGCAAAGUAUGAUAUUAAACAAAACGCUCUAGGAGAUAUCAUAAACCAUUAUCGCAGGCGAACUUGACCACGUCUUUAUGUAAUUAUACAACGCCAGGAAAACCCAUUUCGAAAGGAUCCAAAGUAAAACAUUACAAUGAGAAAUUUAGCAACCAGGUGUUUUUUUCUCGCGUUUCUAACGAUACUGAUCGUUAGCAACAUCUCAGAGGUUAGUUGCCAGUUGUGCGAGUUAAAACCAGGUGGACGUUGCGUUGACACGUAUGUUAAGCGAAGAGGAAGAUGGCGUGCGCGUUGUGCUGGAAGGGGAGCCAGAGCAUGCAGAAUGGUUGGUAGUGGUUCUUGUCGAUGUGCUUCGACUCGACCCAUGGGACGACCUCGUCAUCGAUAGGAUGAAUGAAUGUGUGUGCGUACUAAACAUUUAACGUUAAAUAUGUGUUCGAACUCAAAACAUAAAAGGAUUAGUCAUUUAUAUAACUAAUUGUAUCCGGAAACCUGUUAAUUGCCUAUUUUAGUGUAACAGUCUUUCGCGAGAUGAGCGACCAGUGAUGGGUAUUGUAAAAACCAAAAACAUUCGGCGAAAUAACAUUUUGGUCACUUUUGCAUGAAUACGCAUUUAACUCUAGGUAAAACUCGGUGUCCUAGUUUUGGUUGCCAUACCGUACGGAACUGGAUUCAAAGCAACUUUUUAAAGUGCAAUGGAAGCGUUCAUGCUGGGAAAGUGAAAAGUGAGCUGGUUUUGCAAAAACGUGAAGAUUUUGAGAUGCUGCGUAGAUUUUAAGUCCUGUUAUUUGCUGUUACAGAAAACAUUCAUUUCAGAUUGUUGUAGAAAGCACAACAGUGUUAUCGUUUUUAAUUGACUAAAUUCAAGACAUGCCAUUUUUAGGAUUUAGGAAAUUAAGGGGCAUUAUUUCAUUCAUUGACCUUAGCACUCACAUUGCCAUGAGGGGAUUGAACUGAAAGAAUGGAUUAUUUAUUACUUAUCUCGUCUGUUUAAGUUUAAAUAAUUUUGGUGGGCCACAUACCUACACAUGUUCUUUGACAAAACCAACGGUAUUCCACAGAGCAACUGUGUGUCCUUCGAUCUUACAUGUAAAAGCUUUGUCCGUUAAAGAUUGUUUAUCUGAGCUUGGUCAAGUGGAUUUGUACGCAGAUAACUCCUGAUUAUACUCACUGAGGGCUGGAAACAAGAGUUUUGCCUAAGAAAUGAUAAAAAUACAGUUGUAUCAUAUUUGUUAAAUGUAACCAUAUACAAUGAUAUAUUUAGUUGAUAUUGUUCAGAAAUUUAGUUUGUAGAAUUGUUAUUACCUCCAUUUUGCCUUCUAUCUUCGCAAAUAAAUGUAUUCUGAAGCUAUA